rnacentral:lncRNA from 1 species
UCGGGUUCUGGGGGUGGGGCCUGUACAGCACUUUCACCUCUCUCUCUACGAAACUUGGGCACAUAUUUUCCAGACGCUGGUGCGGCAGCAGCAGCAGCUGCAGCUGGAGCAGCAGAUCCAGGCUCCAGCGGGCGACCUCCAGUAGGGGGCUCAGAAGGUUUGGGAGGCACCUCAGUUGGCCUACCCAAGAGAGCUUCUCUCCUAAGCUUUUCUUUUUCUUCCAGUUCCCGUUCUCUUUGCCUCUGCUUCUCA